CCUACGGGAGGCAGCAGUGAGGAAUAUUGGUCAAUGGCCGAGAGGCUGAACCAGCCAAGUCGCGUGAGGGAAGACGGCCCUACGGGUUGUAAACCUCUUUUGUCGGGGAGCAAAGCGCCCCACGUGUGGGUCCUUGCGAGUACCCGACGAACAAGCAUCGGCUAACUCCGUGCCAGCAGCCGCGGUAAUACGGAGGAUGCGAGCGUUAUCCGGAUUUAUUGGGUUUAAAGGGUGCGCAGGCGGAGGUGCAAGUCAGCGGUCAAAUUGCGGGGCUCAACCCCGUACUGCCGUUGAAACUGCAGCACUUGAGUGCGCGAGAAGUAGGCGGAAUGCGUGGUGUAGCGGUGAAAUGCAUAGAUAUCACGCAGAACUCCGAUUGCGAAGGCAGCAUACCGGCGCGCAACUGACGCUCAUGCACGAAAGCGUGGGUAUCGAACAGGAUUAGAUACCCGUGUAGUC
rnacentral:rRNA from 1 species